ACGGGAACUCGCUGGGGAAGCAGGGCAAAUGGAUCUGACAUGAAGGGGAAACGCCCCGUGUGCUCAAAUGCAUUAUGGGAGAGAUCCUAAUUCCUAGGAGGGCAAGAGGGAAGCUGCCUUCCCCCAACUCCUCCCCAGCAAAGCAUCCUCCCGGGGGAGUGGAAACAUAGACUCCUGAUUCCGGAAGCUUCAGGAACGACCCGUGGAGGUUUCAGAGGAGCCAUGAGGAGUCAUUUCUGUAGUCUCCAUGUUAAUGAGGCCAGAGGAGGUUAGUGAUCGUCUGCUGGAUGCUCUGCUACUUUACAUACUUCGCAUCUCCUCUAACCCUCACAUCAACCUUUGGAGCUGUGCGACCAAGCUGGAGGAAAAGAAAGCGCGAGGAACUCCCACCAGACUGAAACCCUUUUUGUUUCUCGCAUGUCACAGAGCCUUCAUUCUGUUCCUGAGGAAGAAAUAGUAUCCUGAAGGAUUCCCGAAAAGCUGGACAAUUAGACGGCGGUACAGCAUAAUAAGAAGAACCUGGAUCUCUGAGAUGUCCCCAACGGACUGGGUUUCUUGAGCAUGAAAAAUAAAUUUCUAUCUUGUUUAACC